GACGAACGCUGGCGGCGUGCUUAACACAUGCAAGUCGAACGGAAAGGCCCUGCUUUUGUGGUGUGCUCGAGUGGCGAACGGGUGAGUAACACGUGAGUAACCUGCCCUUGACUUUGGGAUAACUUCAGGAAACUGGGGCUAAUACCGGAUAGGAGCUCCUGCUGCAUGGUGGGGGUUGGAAAGUUUCGGCGGUUGGGGAUGGACUGGCGGCUUAUCAGCUUGUUGGUGGGGUAGUGGCUUACCAAGGCUUUGACGGGUAGCCGGCCUGAGAGGGUGACCGGCCACAAUGGGACUGAGAGACGGCGCAGACUCCUACGGGAGGCAGCAGUGGGGAAUAUUGCACAAUGGGCGGGAGCCGGAUGCAGCAACGCCGCGUGCGGGAUGACGGCCUGCGGGUUGUAAACCGCUUUCGCCUGUGACGAAGCGUGAGUGACGGUAAUGGGUAAAGAAGCACCGGCUAACUACGUG
rnacentral:rRNA from 1 species